rnacentral:tRNA from 1 species
UCCCUGGUGGCUCAGAGGUUAAAGCAUCUGCCUGCAAUGCGGGAGACCUGGGUUAGAUCCCUGGGUUGGGAA